rnacentral:misc_RNA from 1 species
GUUUAUAAAAACGAACCCGACUGCUCUCUCGCAAGAGAGAGCGUUGCUCUGGGCGCUCGUGUCUCUAUCUCUGCGCGCCGCUCUCUUCUUCUAUUCGAAGUUUAGAGAGAGUGUAGCAGAGUGUGAUGUAUACGUCGCCUCAAACGAAACGCAAGAAAAAAGAUGAAUUCGUUCGUCUAGCUGGCGCGCGCGCUUACCGCUUGGAGAGUACGCGAGUACUUCCGAUCGUUCUGCGUCGAGUCCCGGAGCUUUCUCGACGUUCACUCGUCGAGCCAGCGGACCGACGUCUAGCACACGAUCAGGCUUGUCCAUGCAUCGGUCAUUGAACGCGCGCGUGCCCUUUUACGCACACAC